AGGGCAAAAGCUUUGCCUCGUAUAUAUUGAUAGAGAAGAAGAAAAGGUACAUGAUUAUGACCCACAGAAGAACCGGAAUCAGAAAAGGAAAAAGACCACACACCACGCAAUACAUCAGGGCCCUUGGUGUUGAAACCCAAACCAAUUCUUUGACACUCCUAAGGUACGAGUUCUUCGAAGCGACAUCUCUAACAAGAGAACGACGAUUGCGCUGCCACUGUCCGUCUUAGGCAGGAUAUGGUUUUCACCUAAAGAAACCCGCAGGAAAGAGUGAGACUACACAACAACGCCUUAAGAGAAAAACGGCGCCCGCGGGCGACGUCGUUGCCUGCCACUAGGCUAGACUUUCGUCUGUAAUCAAACAACUCUCCCCAUGUCAAAGAGCAACCGUUGAGCUCAGAAGCCACCGCUAUACAACAACCUUCCACGCGUAGCACCACACCUCGUCGUCGGUCGGCCAUCAAGAAGAAGUCCAAAACUCCGGUGUGCCCCGAUCCAUCCACGUUGUUGGGUAGGAUGGGGAGAGGGUGAGAGAGAAAAUGGAUCACCUCUCCCCACCACUAGUCCUCUGAACGUGAGAUGGCCACGGCGCCUUCCAAGAGAACGAUCGUCUGGAUUUGGGCCCCCACCUGCAACGCCCACCUCACGACGCCACCGUCGUCGCCCGCCGUGUGGC
rnacentral:lncRNA from 1 species